UGUGCCCCGUGUAUGCAGUGCA
rnacentral:miRNA from 1 species